rnacentral:lncRNA from 1 species
UAUAGCUUAUAUCCUUGGUGUUCUUUUUUUAAAAUUUAGUUUUCGAAAAAAUGAAGACAUGAAUGGCAUUAUCAGAACUAAAGGAAGCAAUACAAAUUUCGCGCAAUGUUUGUGUUCUCUAUAAAUAUUUAGAUGACACAAUUUUUUGAAAUUGGAUAACAAUUGCAACUCUUUUUUUCUUGCUUAUAGAACUACCUUGAUUGAGUUCAUUUCCCUCACUAUAUGAUUGUGAUUUGUGUUUGUCUAGAGAGGCAGGAACUAGGAGUAAGAAUCAAUUUAAAUAGAAACUAGUUGUUGAUAUUCCUAGUUCAGUGAACAUCAUGGUUCGAUGCUGGGUCACAACAAAACUUGUGAAGUAACAUUCUUUUUGCCAAUUGAUAAUUGUCCAUGAAGUAACAAAUUUAGUUAAUAUAUCGAUAUGACUCAAAUUUAAGGUGAAAGCUAGAUCUCUGCAUUCUCCCAUCACCACAUGUACCAGCCUACCAGGUGACUUUGUCCAUUAAAGUUUUAAGAUCACAUUGGAAGAAAUAAUUUAUCUUUCUAUUUUAUUUUAUUGUGGGCGUGUGCAUAUAUAUAUAUAUAUAUUUGUCAUAAUUUAUUUUUUUGAAACCAUUUUUCGUAUAUUAGGAGCACUUGACCUCAUUGUAAUGGACAACUAAGUCCAAGAAAUUAUUAACUCCUUUUUGUUUUUUCAUUGGUAUUUUAUGGAUAUUAUAUUUGAAGUUACAGGGAGGGAGGUUAUUAACUAGGUGGCAAAAACCAGUUGUUUCUAAGCGUGUGCUCUAUUUUGAUGCUUGUGUUUGUUCUUACUUUAAUGCUGGUUCGCUAUCUUCUUAUUCCAUGUCUACAUAGUAUAUCCCCAUCAGUACAAGUACCCGCGCAACCUAGAACUUAGUAAAGUAGAAUGGACGUCACUUUGGAGUUGAUAAUUUGUUGUUCAUUCUUCUUUAUAUGCUUUGCAAAUAAUUUUUUCCAGAACUUAUAUACAUAACAAAAGAUCACAUUUCCUGUUGGGUGCAAACCUUGGAGGGUGCAAACCUUGGAGAUCAAGGUUCAAAUCCCAACCAAGAAGUGACAAAAUGCUAAGUGAUCUAUUCACAUAUGCUUAAGCCUUGGGGGACAAAAUUAUCUACCUAUGUUGGUGGGAGCUAGUACGUACCCCGUUGAAUUGUUGAAGUCGCACGAGCUGGCUGGGACACACAGUUAGACAAAAAAGAGAUAACGUAUCCUGUUUGUAGCCCAGUUAUUACUAGACUUCAGGUAUUGAAUUUUCUUACAAAUUCUAUGCACUAAAAGAUUUUGAUUUAACUUUCUUUAUUUUGUUUGCAGCAUUGCUUUCAAUUGAUUGGUGUUCAAUUUCCCUCCUCUAUCAGAUGCUGCUAGAAGCCCGCUAAAAUACUGUCAAUUCUAGAAGGGUAUAUUUGACAAGAAUUAUUGCGCUUUCUCCUCUUUGUAUGACAAGCCUUUGGUGAAAUUUUCGGCUGGUGUAAGCCCGGGAAGAAGCUGCUGACCAUGUAGAUGGGGCUUCUUUCGAUUAGCUAAACUCUCUCUUCCAUAAUAGGGGUCUCUUAGAGCAGGCAAAUUUUGCAGCAAGGUUGUUGCUGUAUUACAGUCUGGAGAAAACGAAGAUGAUGAUACCACGUUAUCAAGUAGUUGAGAAGGCAUUGUCAUUUUAAAUGUCUGCCUUGAUAGGUGCUCCUAGAGUUUUUUGUACUCCUCACCCGGGGUUGGGUGAGGCUUGGCAGGGCUAUCCAUAGAUGAUUUGUGUUUUGGAGUGUGUCUCCCUUAUGGUCGUUAUUUAUGGUAGUUACUGUAUGAUAUUAUUGCAUGCUAUUUUAUUUAUG